UACAGAGGGUGGCGAGCGUUGUCCGGAAUCGACUGGGCGUAAAGGGCGCGUAGGCGGCUCAUGAAGGCCUGUGUGGAAAGUCCGGGGCUCAACCUCGGAUCGCCGUGGCGACUCGUGGGCUGGAGCACUGUAGAGGCGGGUGGAAUUCCGGGUGUAGCGGUGGAAUGCGUAGAGAUCCGGAAGAACACCAGUGGCGAAGGCGGCCCGCUGGGCGAGUGCUGACGCUGAGGCGCGACAGCGUGGGGAGCAAACAGG
rnacentral:rRNA from 1 species